UCAGAUGUAAGAUCAUUAUUACAAGUGGAACUAUUUACAUGAGAAUGCAUAGAAACAGCCUUGUGAUCAGACAAAAUGUCAUCAUUACAAGAAGACACGGAAGGCAAUGCAACAUCUUGGUUAUCAUUACAAGAAACAGAAACAGGACAAACAGAAUUAGAAAGGCAAGUAACAGCGGGCGAAGGGGAAGAAGGAACCCAAGCUAGUUUAUACAGCCCAGCAGCUUGUCUACCAAGAUCCAG
rnacentral:lncRNA from 1 species